GACGAACGCUGGCGGCGUGCUUAACACAUGCAAGUCGAACGGAAAGGCCCUGCUUUUGUGGGGUGCUCGAGCGGCGAACGGGUGAGUAACACGUGAGUAACCUGCCCUUGACUUUGGGAUAACUUCAGGAAACUGGGGCUAAUACCGGAUAGGAGCUCCUGCUGCAUGGUGGGGGUUGGAAAGUUUCGGCGGUUGGGGAUGGACUCGCGGCUUAUCAGCUUGUUGGUGGGGUAGUGGCUUACCAAGGCUUUGACGGGUAGCCGGCCUGAGAGGGUGACCGGCCACAUUGGGACUGAGAUACGGCCCAGACUCCUACGGGAGGCAGCAGUGGGGAAUAUUGCACAAUGGGCGGAAGCCUGAUGCAGCAACGCCGCGUGCGGGAUGACGGCCUUCGGGUUGUAAACCGCUUUCGCCUGUGACGAAGCGUGAGUGACGGUAAUGGGUAAAGAAGCACCGGCUAACUACGUGCCAGCAGCCGCGGUGAUACGUAGGGUGCGAGCGUUGUCCGGAUUUAUUGGGCGUAAAGGGCUCGUAGGUGGUUGAUCGCGUCGGAAGUGUAAUCUUGGGGCUUAACCCUGAGCGUGCUUUCGAUACGGGUUGACUUGAGGAAGGUAGGGGAGAAUGGAAUUCCUGGUGGAGCGGUGGAAUGCGCAGAUAUCAGGAGGAACACCAGUGGCGAAGGCGGUUCUCUGGGCCUUUCCUGACGCUGAGGAGCGAAAGCGUGGGGAGCGAACAGGCUUAGAUACCCUGGUAGUCCACGCUGUAAACGGUGGGUACUAGGUGUGGGGUCCAUUCCACGGGUUCCGUGCCGUAGCUAACGCUUUAAGUACCCCGCCUGGGGAGUGCGGCCGCAAGGCUAAAACUCAAAGGAAUUGACGGGGCCCCGCACAAGCGGCGGAGCAUGCGGAUUAAUUCGAUGCAACGCGUAGAACCUUACCUGGGUUUGACAUGGAUCGGGAGUGCUCAGAGAUGGGUGUGCCUCUUUUGGGGUCGGUUCACAGGUGGUGCAUGGCUGUCGUCAGCUCGUGUCGUGAGAUGUUGGGUUAAGUCCCGCAACGAGCGCAACCCUUGUUCACUGUUGCCAGCACGUUAUGGUGGGGACUCAGUGGAGACCGCCGGGGUCAACUCGGAGGAAGGUGGGGAUGACGUCAAGUCAUCAUGCCCCUUAUGUCCAGGGCUUCACGCAUGCUGCAAUGGCUGGUACAGAGAGUGGCGAGCCUGUGAGGGUGAGCGAAUCUCGGAAAGUCGGUCUCAGUUCGGAUUGGGGUCUGCAACUCGACCUCAUGAAGUCGGAGUCGCUAGUAAUCGCAGAUCAGCAACGCUGCGGUGAAUACGUUCCCGGGGCU
rnacentral:rRNA from 1 species